CUAGGGCACACUUAAAGAUUUACGAUUUUCAUUCACAAUUCACACUUCACUCUUCCGCUAAUUUUCUCCCUGCCGUUGCCGACGCGUCGCCACUCCAGUCCGUCGCGGCUCCAGCUCCGUCGCCGAUGUCGCCGCUCCAGCUCCGUCACCGAUCCAGAUUCGCCGCUCCAGGACAACAUCACCGCUACCGUACAAUUGAGAAGAUUAAGAAAGUUGCAGAGGAAGGAAACUUCUAUGGCGCUCAUCAAAUGUAUAAAUCUCUUGGUUCUAGUUUACAUGCAGUGCAGAGCUUGCUGUCUAUUUUGUGGAACACCUUGUUAAAGGAAACAUCCCUUAUGGCGAUGACACUCUUGGCCUUGUUUAGUUUCAACAGCUCAGAUGGAAAGCAGAGUUGGAAUAAAUCUCAUCUGAUUUAUAGACUAUCUCUUCGGCCUUUCUAAUCUCUCUGGUAGUUGGUGCUAAGUGGAAAGAGUUGUGUUUGGGGCAUUGUCUUGAAGAAACAACAUCUGAUUCUAGGUUUCAGGUGGCUUUGUGCAUACUACAGAGAUUAAUAGUGCAUAUAAGUUUGCUCAAAAAUUUGCAAAGGAAAGAGACGAAGUUCAUGGUACUAGGAAGGAACAAGAUGUGUAGAUGAUAAAUCUAACACUAAAUUGUUAUUUUGUUAUUAACCAAAUUUUAGAAUUUGUACUAAUGCUCUAUGUACUAAUGCUCAAUAUUAUUGAACUUUGGUGUUAUGAGUAUUUAA